rnacentral:rRNA from 1 species
GAUGAACGCUGGCGGCGUGCCUAAUACAUGCAAGUCGAACGGAGAUCAGUGAUGGUCUUAGUGGCGAACGGGUGAGUAACGCGUUGGUGACCUGCCCCAAAGAGAGGGAUAACAGACCGAAAGGUUUGCUAAUACCGCAUGAGCUAGUGGAGGACUAGAAGUCUGCUAGGAAAGCCGAAAGGCGCUUUGGGAGGGGCCUGCGACCCAUCAGCUAGUUGGUAAGGUAACGGCUUACCAAGGCGAUGACGGGUAGGGGACCUGAGAGGGUGGCCCCCCACAAUGGAACUGAAACACGGUCCAUACACCUACGGGAGGCUG